GUAUUGAAGGUGAUGCCUGCCCGGUGACGACGUUUAACGGCCGCGGUAUCCUGACCGUGCAAAGGUAGCGCAAUCAAUUGUCCCAUAAAUCGGGACCCGUAUGAAUGGCUAAACGAGGUCUUAACUGUCUCUUACAGGCAAUCGGUGAAAUUGAUCUCCCUGUACAAAAGCAGGGAUAACAACAUAAGACGAGAAGACCCUGUGGAACUUCAAAAACAGCAGCCACCCCGUAUAACAUACCCCCCCAACUCGGGCUCACGUCCCUACGGGUAACUGGCUUGCAUUUUUUCGGUUGGGGCGACCUUGGAGCAAAACAAAACCUCCAAAUCUUGGACCAUCAAUCUAGACUAAGAGCAACCACUCAACGUGCUAACAGCAACCAGAUCCAAUACAAUUGAUCAAUGGACCAAGCUACCCCAGGGAUAACAGCGCAAUCUCCUCCAAGAGUCCAUAUCGACGGGGAGGUUUACGACCUCGAUGUUGGAUCAGGACAUCCUAGUGGUGCAGCCGCUACUAAGGGUUC
rnacentral:rRNA from 1 species